GGCCCUAAGUCGGUGAUGUGGCAUUCGCAAAAAACAGCAAUUGAAUUUUCUCCGCUUCAGAUUUUCUUGCAAUUUAAACCGCAAAUUACAGAACCAAAACGCUUCACAUACCCAACUGCUUACCCGCACCGCUUCGAAAAAACCUUCUGCAAACGUUCAACCCCGUUUUCCCUGUUCAAUUUCCCCCAGACCUCUAACAUUGUGAAUUAAUUUCUAUAAACUCAACUACAUUCGCCUUCUUUGUCUAUUUCUUAUUUGGGGUAAACGAAAAAAAUAAAGAAGUUAUCGAUAUGCUUACACAAAUUCUAUUUCCUUCGACGCCAAUGAAGACAUCCGAAGAACACCAUCACUCGACCACUGUUUCAGGUAUUCGCUCCAUAAUUGCUGGUAUGUAAUCCUUUCACAGUUUAGUAUUUAUCAUUUAUGUCUUAUUCUUAUAUAUUUCACUCUUACUAACUUGUAUGAACCCUAAUCUAAUUGUAUAGGUACGGAUAAACAAGUAUGCAAAAACACAAAACAAAAGUAUGAG
rnacentral:lncRNA from 1 species